rnacentral:tRNA from 1 species
GCCAACAUAGUUUUAAACAAAACAUUAGACUGUGACUCUAAAAACAGAAGUUUAACCCUUCUUGUUAGCC